GGUUGAUCCUGCCAGUAGUCAUAUGCUUGUCUCAAAGAUUAAGCCAUGCAUGUCUCAGUGUAAACUUUUAAACAGUGAACCUGCGAAUGGCUCAUUAAAACAGUUAUAGUUUAUUUGAUAAUCAUUUUUACAUGGAUAACCGUGGGAAUUCUAGGGCUAAUACAUGCAUAAACCCGCAAGGGAUGUGUUUAUUAGAUUAAAACCAUCACAGUGCUUGCACUGUACAGUUGGAAUGAUAAUAACCGAUCGAAUCGCACGCGCAAGUGGCGAUAAAUCAUUCAAGUUUCUGAC
rnacentral:rRNA from 1 species